rnacentral:lncRNA from 1 species
UGAUAUUCCUAAAAUAGACUCUGGAUCUGACCUGAAAGUUAACUGGAAAUUGCAGAUGUAUGUAUUCAGAUGUAUUAUAGAUGUUUAUGACUGAAGACCAAAACAACUGCAAACUUGAUGUUCUAAUUUGUCUCUGUUUAUUUUCUAAACUCAGAAUCUAAUUCCUAAUGCUGAUUUCAGCCUGUGUAUUGCUAGUACUCUCCGCCACUCAGCUCCCUAUGCUGAAGAAAGCUGAAAGCAGAUCUGCUGACCAAAGAAUGUAGCAGUAGGAAACAGUAUUUGAAAACUACAACUCAGACAACACCAAGAGGAAAAGAAGGCAGAGCUGAAAACAGACAAACAAAAAAUAAGUACACAAGGUGGCUUGUGUGGUUGUAUAAUGACUUCUACAAGUCAGCAACACCAAAACAUGUAUUUGCACUCUUUUUUCUCCUUGUUACAUACAUCAGCAUUAUCUGGGUUGGCACUUGUUAGUACUAACGCCUAAUAAAUGUUGAAGAGAAAUGGUAUUGAAUGCAUGUAUUCAUAAAUCCAUGUGCUGACAUAGUUUGCAAGUCUGUAGUGUUAUUAAAAUAUAUUUUAAUCAAUGUUUAGAAAGUAGAUAUUUUUUCCCAUAAUACAAGGUAUGGAAGAUCCAUCUUCAUUUGUGUCUUGUCUAGUCUAGUUUAGAUAUUUUACCUCUCUUUCCUUCAUUAGCCAAUGUGAAUAUGACAGAAGGUAAUUAUUUCAGUGAGCUAAUUUUGACUAAAUCCUGUGAUGCAGAACCACAUGUGAACCUGCUUGUGCCUCUUUGUUACACAGGCCUGCAGGAGAACAAGGAAAAAAAUAGCAUAUAUGUCAUGGAUUAUAUUUUGCUUCAGGCACUUUCUGACCUACUGUAUUAUGAUUUGGC